UGUAGACCCAAAUGGAACUCUUUAAUCUCCUCCUCCUGCGAGCACUAGGAAUGAUUAUCCGUUCAGCAUAGGCGCCAAAAUCGCAGAGAAAUUGUGCGAACAAUAUCUCCGUCUCCGUCAAAAGCAUGCGAUUAAAUUCACCCUAUCGAGUAUCAACUACGUAUAGAUUCUAUCAUCUAUCUUUUUUCCUUUCCUUCCCGCUCGAGCGCUAUGCGGAGAUUGGGCGUCUCCCCUCCCGAGCUAUGGCAAUGAUUGGGGCAAUCUCUUCACAUUUCACAAUUCUUGAUGCCAGCGAUCCGAACAGAAACGCAUGAGAACUCGAGGAGCCCCUUAAUGAACAGGAUAUCCAAUUGACUGAAUGAAGGUUGGGCUGAAUAUCUUCAUCAGGGUUGGUUGGGCAGUAAAUGCUCAAGAUUUGCUGCACUUGUCACACCAUUGGAGACUUUGGGAUCUUGAUGUACCCUACUGGGGGAAUGCUAUGAUUCAUGGAAUAUUGUGAGACUUAUAUCCUUCUGCACCGUAUAAGUAGACUAUAAUUGCUAUGCCAAGACCACUUACAAGAAUGCUUUUGUUUGUUGGCUUUCUAAUAUGACAUAACGAAUUCAGAUAACUGAUGUGCAGAUUUCUUUUGCUAUACAAAACAAUUUCUGAACUUGUAAUUGUUUCAAUACUGAUUCUUCGCAGCAAGCACGUGCUAUCUAUAGGUGAUGUUAUUUGUUUCCCAAGAUUUUGUUAUUUGUAUUUUGCUACAGUUGUUUGGAGGCAAACUUCAAUUGGUUUUCUGAA